UGCUGUUCAAAUCACAUAUCAGGUAUGGUGUUUGUAGGAUGAGUGACUGAUUGACCUGGCUGUGAUAGGUUGAGUAUGGUGGCUGAAUUUUCAAUAUCGAGGUUGCCGGAAUGUGCAGGCAUGAGUUUGGAAUUUCUUUCACCAAAGUCGAGGAUGCUUGGAUUUUCAAGAUAAAGAAAGAUUUGGCAUACCAAGUUUUGACAAUUGGCACGUUUGCCCAUCCCACCUGUUCUUAUAAUAGAUAUAUAGAUUUGGGUAUUUCAUGUGAAUUGUUAAUUUCGUAGUGACAUGGCAUGUUAGUCAACUAGUUUUAAGCAUAAGUCAAG
rnacentral:lncRNA from 1 species